rnacentral:misc_RNA from 1 species
GCUGGUGCUGAUGGUUGAGUGGCAGCAUCAUCAUCAGGACUAACUUUAUAAAAACGAUAGUUCUCAAACCUCAAAUUGCAGCUGGGUUUGAUCACUCUCCCUCCUAGCUUUCCGUCACAACAAUAUGGAAUAUCCCGAACAGCUGCAACUAUGCAGUCGUUACAAUCCUGCUCAGAUAUAUCAGGAGUACACUGCACAAGUGCAAAUAUGGUCUCAAAUCCUGCGCUCUCAUUUCCUGUCGCAAACUUUCGUGUAGAGUUUCCUGAUGCAGCUUUGCUUCGAAGUCUGCUCAAUAACCCUUGCAGUGCCUGAUUGAACUGAUUGACAUCUGAUGCAUUUUGUGUGUUCCACAUGUGAACAGUAGGCUGUGUUUCCUGGACACUGAAAAUUGAUCUGUUUGAGUAUCGUAACAUGCAGGAAUCAUAAAACCCGAUUACCUCCUUUUGGUUGGGACAAGCUUGAAGGAUUUGACGAGUAGAGUUUCUGAUGCAGCCUCGACAUUCAUCCAGCGAAACAUCUCCUCUACAAAGUGCGAUUGCAUUUACCUGAUCUGGGUUUUCGCCAAGAGAGAGAUUGUAAAAACCAUAGUGGCUUUCGUUGUUGGAGACGAUGGAGGAGAGGAGACUGUUGAGGUUUCUUUUGUAGGUGCUGUUAGUUGUGUAAUUUCCUAUGCUAUUCAUACAAAACUGAGCUCUGGUUAGAAUAACAACGUGCAAGAAAAAGAAAUAAAAGCAAAGCAGCAAUCUUAAAGAUUGCAUAGGCAGUCUGCUCAUUUUUUAAUUUUCCUGAUGAGAUCAGUCUUCUUGAUGAAGCUUUUCUAUAGAGAGAAUGAUCUUCUC